AGUGUUAAAUAAUGCACGUUCUCCUCUUUUAGCCAAGAGUGGAAACGAAACCCGAAGCUCAGUCUCAACCUCCUCGCGUUCGUGAGCAGCGUCCCAGGGAAAGACCGGGUUUCCCACCACGAGGACCUCGGCCAGGAAGGGGAGACAUGGAGCAGAACGAGUCGGAUAAUCGUCGGAUAAUUCGUUACCCAGACAGCCACCAGCUCUUUGUUGGGAACUUGCCACACGAUAUUGAUGAGAGUGAACUGAAAGAGUUCUUCAUGAGCUUUGGAAAUGUGGUAGAACUUCGCA